AAAUUGAAGAGUUUGAUCAUGGCUCAGAUUGAACGCUGGCGGCAGGCCUAACACAUGCAAGUCGAACGGUAACAGGAAACAGCUUGCUGUUUCGCUGACGAGUGGCGGACGGGUGAGUAAUGUCUGGGAAACUGCCUGAUGGAGGGGGAUAACUACUGGAAACGGUAGCUAAUACCGCAUAAUGUCGCAAGACUAAAGAGGGGGACCUUCGGGCCUCUUGCCAUCGGAUGUGCCCAGAUGGGAUUAGCUAGUAGGUGGGGUAACGGCUCACCUAGGCGACGAUCCCUAGCUGGUCUGAGAGGAUGACCAGCCACACUGGAACUGAGACACGGUCCAGACUCCUACGGGAGGCAGCAGUGGGGAAUAUUGCACAAUGGGCGCAAGCCUGAUGCAGCCAUGCCGCGUGUAUGAAGAAGGCCUUCGGGUUGUAAAGUACUUUCAGCGGGGAGGAAGGGAGUAAAGUUAAUACCUUUACUCAUUGACGUUACCCGCA
rnacentral:rRNA from 1 species